rnacentral:RNase_P_RNA from 1 species
AUACGACGCGGCGCGGUCGCGUGAUAUCACGCCGAAAGGUAUUAUCAUGAGGAAAGUCCGGGCUUCGAAGGGCAGGAUAACGGAUAACGUCCGCCGAGGAAAACUCAGGGAGAGUGCAACAGAAAUAUACCGCCGCGACGGACUUGUCCGUUGCGGUAAGGGUGGAAAGGUGAGGUAAGAGCUCACCCGGCUCUGCGGCAACGCAGGGGUGCUGUAAACCCUAUCCGAAGCAACACCGUAUGCGGCAAAGGGCAUAGCUCUCAUGUCUGCCCGGCGUGUUUUGCCGCAGGUGGCUGGAGCGUCACGGUAACGUGCCGUCAAGACAGAUGAUCGCGGUUCGCGCAGCAUGCGUGCAUACAUGCCAUGCUGCGCGUCCACAGAACCCGGCUUACAAGCGCCGUAUGUAC